CUACGGGAUGCAGCAGUGGGGAAUAUUGCACAAUGGGCGCAAGCCUGAUGCAGCCAUGCCGCGUGUAUGAAGAAGGCCUUCGGGUUGUAAAGUACUUUCAGCGGGGAGGAAGGGAGUAAAGUUAAUACCUUUGCUCAUUGACGUUACCCGCAGAAGAAGCACCGGCUAACUCCGUGCCAGCAGCCGCGGUAAUACGGAGGGUGCAAGCGUUAAUCGGAAUUACUGGGCGUAAAGCGCACGCAGGCGGUUUGUUAAGUCAGAUGUGAAAUCCCCGGGCUCAACCUGGGAACUGCAUCUGAUACUGGCAAGCUAGAGUCUCGUAGAGGGGGGUAGAAUUCCAGGUGUAGCGGUGAAAUGCGUAGAGAUCUGGAGGAAUACCGGUGGCGAAGGCGGCCCCCUGGACGAAGACUGACGCUCAGGUGCGAAAGCGUGGGGAGCAAACAGGAUUAGAUACCCGGAUAGUC
rnacentral:rRNA from 1 species